rnacentral:misc_RNA from 1 species
CUGCGCUUCACCACUUGCUUACACACACACAAAUUGGCGCUCACUGACUGCGGUCUUGGGAACCCUAUUGCUUUUUUUUUUUUGGUAUCUGCUGCGUGCAUUCACUCCCCUACACCGCCAAAAUCAUACAACAUACACGAGCACGUGUGCUAUCGAGGUCUGCUGCGCUUUGCCUGCUGCCCUCGCUCUUUUUCAAGAGCUUCUGUGUGUGCGUGUGUGUAGCUGUAGGUGUGUCUUGCCGUCCGUUCACCUGUUUGCAACAAGCUUCCGUUGCCUCAACACCACUGUCUACUCCGUCAUUCACUCGCUGAGGCCCCCUCCUUUUCGCUCCAUCUUCGCCCACUAUCGCCUACGUGGUCUGUCCCUCCUUUCCCUCACCGUGCACCACCGUGCCGGCUUCAUGCAGAUGCAAGGCAACAUGUACCCUCGGCAGAUGGAAUGGGCCGUGCAUCAGCAACAGCCACAGAGCAUGCAGGGCAACCGACAGGCGGUCGCGUCUCGCGCCUACCACCUAGAGCCCAUCAGCACCAUGCAGCUGCGACAGCAGCGCGGUAGCAUGCCGGGUAUGAUGAUAGGGCAGCAGCCUGGUGGCGGUAUGAUGGACGGCCUGUCGACGUACGGCCCGAGGCCCAUGAUAAGGGACGUGCAGGAUGGGCACAUGGGCCCGCAGCAAGCGGAUGCCGCCCGUGCUGCUGGCUAUGGAACUCAGGGCAUGUACGGCAGUCAUUUGAUGAGCUAUGGCGCUGCGGGGAUGGGGGGAGUAAACAAUUUGCAAAACGGCAAUGCCGCUCUCUUCGCCGCCGGCUCUGCUGGUCAAGCGUCGGAGGGGAACAGCAUCAACUUCAACGGCAUCUUCAACAGCGCAGUCAACCCGCAGGUGCAGUCGUCUGUGGCGGUGCAGGACGACGGUAAGCCGCUUCCGUUUCCUCCUGGAAACCUUCUCGCGCAGUACCCGCCCGAGUACCAGCAGCAGCUCAUCUUUUACUACCGCCUGCUGCGCUUGCAGUACCCGGAGCUGUACCAGCAGUACGUGGACUAUUACGUGAUGUACUAUGAGCCCCUCUAUCAUCCAGCUCCGUCGUCUCUCAGCAAGGACGAUCUCAACGGCGGCCAGCAAAGGAAGAAGGAGCCACUUCUGCAGCAGACGCAGCGGGCCCACAUGCAACGGCAGCAGCCAGCCAUGCCGCAGCCCGGGUAUCAGCCGCCGCCACCGAUGGAGCACGCCCUGCCCUCGGAAGUCAUGUGCCGCACUACAUCGAACCUCAGCGGAGGCCUGAAGCGGCAGAGCUCGCUGCGGCGGCAGAACUCGAUGCGCCGAAACGAGGUCAACCAGCUGAAGAACGAGGGCAGCCUCAAGCGUCUUCCAAGUAUGCGGCAACAAUAGGGUUAGCUGAAGGCAAGAGGUGUCGAAGAUACGCCUCGCCUUUUUGAACCCUGCGGAUGGCCCACGAGGGCUUGAGCGGGCCCUUUCCUUUCCCUUGCCAUCUUUAUCGAGUGGCACGAUACAUUUUUUCUUCUAAGCCGGCUACACUACUCCUUCUUCCUCACUUUUUUUUUCUUCAUUGUUGGGAAGUUGGUCGGCUGAUGGCGCUGUUGAUAGUGUCUCUCCAUCGUCAAGAAUCGGAUGCAGCAUCCAACUGUCUCCUUUUCUAUUGUGCGUUUUUCUUUUUGCCUUCUCUGGCGUCGAUGGAUUCAUAGCUACUCUUCGCCCCCCCCCCCCACUUCUGUUCUCCUUGUGUAGAAAAGUCAAACAGAGAGCGUAACGUGCGCGCGAGUCCAACGGAAGUGUACACGUGUUUAUGCGCGUGUGUGUUUUCGUGCAUGUGUGUGAGAGUGAAAAAAAGGGGAGGGGCCUGUGCCUGCGUUCUUCGACAUGCAAUAUUUUUUUGUUUGUUUGCUUUUCACCAUGGAAUUCCUUUUGCGACUCACUACCAACUCUUGUGUUUGUGCUUCCCUGCUUUACACUUGCUUUCCCUCCCUCUCCUUCUUUUUGAUUUUUUUUUCGUGCCUUUCUCAUCUUAAUCACGGAUGUCAUCGCGCCAUCUGCUCUGCACACGACUCAGUCUUCUCUGUCCACCUCGCCCUUGCGUCUCUUUUCGUUGCCUCCUUUGCUUGCUUGAGGGUGUUCCAGAGUGAAUGGAUCCCACCACUGCAGCCGCCACUCCGCCUUCCAAUUUCUGAUACGUCUACGCCGCGCAACGAUGUUCUUUCGCGCGUCAGCUUCUUUACUGCUACCCCAUCCGCACAGGACCUUCUCUUCUCUCGCCGCCUCUUGCUCUCUCAUUUUGCUUCUCGUUAGGCCAAAUAUUCGUGAAGCGUGCACCUUGAUGCUGGUUCAGUGGAAAGUCUUAGUACGCGCGCUUGCUUAGCUCAAGGAGCCCCUGAACCUCUCGCGCUCGACUGAUGUAGGAGCUAUGUGCUCCUCCUCUCGUUGGUGUGUUCACGUUCCCCAACACCGUGGACAUUUCGACGUGUCGACUUUUCCAUUUUGCGUCCGUCUUUGUUCUGCCUGCAUCUUUCCCCUCUUUCCGAGGUGUGCAAUCUGCGUGUGCCCCUGAUGGCGGCUGUCCGUUUCGCGUGCUGUCAG